rnacentral:rRNA from 1 species
AUACGUAGAAGACUAGUGUUAUUCAUCUUUAAUAGGUUUAAAGGGUACCUAGACGGUAAAUCAAGCCUGCAAGGGGACUAAUUUACUACAGUUACUUGUGAGGGGGUAGUAAAGUACUAUUGGUGUAGAGAUGAAAUUCUGUCAUACCUUUUUUCAAAAGAAAAACUAUGGCACAGGUAUAGGCGAAAGCAUCCCCUUAUGUGAUAACUGACGUUGAAGGACGAAGGCUUUUUGUCGCGAACAGGAUUAGAUACCCCAGUAGUCAAAGCAGAAAAUGAUGAAUGUCAUAGAUUAGACAUGUAAUAGUUUACUCUAUAAAUGAAAGUGUAAGCAUUCCACCUCAAGAGUAAUUUGGCAACAUUGGAACUGAAAUCAUUAGACCGUUUCUGAAACCAGUAGUGAAGUAUGUUGUUUAAUUUGAUAAUCCGCAAAAAACCUUACCACAACUUGAAUAUUUAUAUCUAUUUUUUUCCUAAAAGAAAAAAAAAUAUAUCUACAAGCGUUGCACGGCUGUCUUCAGUUAAUGUCGUGAGAUUUUGGUUAGUUCCAUUAAAUUAACGUAAACCCUUACUUUAUUUUUAUAUAAAGUAGUUCCCCACUAGAUUGGAUAUGAUAACAGGGACUAAGACAAGUCAUCAUGGCCUGAA